rnacentral:lncRNA from 1 species
GCCUUUUUCUCUUCAAGGAUGCGAGAUGUGUUGUGGGUCUUAUGGAUGGUGGCCGGUUAGAUCUGGCUCUUUCUUCCCUCGACGGCGGUGGCCGCCGAUGAGAGCUCAGAUCCAGGAGCUGGGGCUUGGGGCGAGCCUCGAUCGAUGGGUGACCGCCGAUGGCUUCAUCCUGUCUCUCGAGACGGGUGUCUAUUUCAACUCCUUUCAAAGGCAACGUACGAUAGGGCUCUUCUCAUUCACGGUGAUGCUCGAGGUCUUAAGGGUUUGAUUGUAAUAUUUAUGUUUUCUAGGGUUCUUUGUGAGGUUCGAUUGGGAGAAGUGCCUCUGUAUCUUUGCUGUGUGUUUCUGUAUUUGUAUACCUGUAUGUUCUCCUCAAGUAGAAAUACAAAACAUAUUAUUAUAAAAAAAUAAAAAAAUUAACCAUGCUAUCCGGAUGUGCGCUCCUACAGAGGAGAGAGCCAGAGACAAUGCAAAGGAUUGCACGCGGGAACCAUCUCAUCAAAAUCAAAACAACAUGUUAUCUACCAGAAUCGAAGCUCAUCCGACACCUAUCGCAUCAAGUGGUGGCAAAGCUUAUUACAUAUUGUUUGGCCCGGCCUGUCCUAAUUGGGAUUUUUUCUAUGCAGCGAGGGUGCUACUAGGGUACCAAUAUAAUAUUCACACCGAGGAGCUAUUUUGGCAAAUAAAUUCACCAAAACAACUACAGCUUUAAGAACUUAACUCUUUGUCUUUCGAGUUCAAACCAAUGUAAUUCUUGAAUUUGUUGGGCAACAAGGCCAUGAAAGCAUUGUAAUUGCAGGUGGGGAUCCUCUUCCUAUAGCAUCAUAUAUAUAUACACCUAAUAUUAAAGGGUGACUCCUCUAAAUUUUUGUCCUUCACUCUUCGGUCUAUCAAUCCCUCACUCUCCAGAGCAUAAGAGUCCUCAUUGGUUUUACAAUAAGUAAUCUAUUGUAUGAUGAAUUAGUGAUAGGGUGUCUCAAUUGAUCUGCUAUUAGGGCCUAUUCGGAUCCAUUAAUCCUAAACUAAACUUUAGCCCCUACCUAGUUUGGAU